AAUGCCUUGCAGGUAUAGUCCUCGUGUGAUUUUGAUUCAUCCAUUUGGAAGUCAGAACCGGAACUCCUCACUGAGCUAAGUAGGGUGAUGAGUUUUAAGUGAGCUUUACGUGUUCUAACGCAUACCCAGAUGGUCUAACAGUUUGACUCUGGAGUCAGCGGUGAUAAUGACAGAUUCCAAGACUCUCCGUUCCCCGUGUUCUUGGAUUAUUCCCGUGGUGAUGUGAUCCUGCGCUCAGAAGUUUGGACAGUGGCCUCCUGUUUCCCCAGCUUUCUGACUGGCAGAUGUCUCUGGAUUGGCUAGAACACCUGCAGGUGUCUCCUAUGGCUGGCGGCUGGAAUCUGGCUUUCAUCGGUGCUAAAGACCCAACCUCAGGAAGCAAAAAGAAUCAGGUGUUGGAGCCUAGCAGUCCUGAACCCUAUUUUGUUCAGAUGGCGAGGAACAGGCAUUCCUGAGGACUGCAUCCGUGGCAGCUGAUGUGUCCAAUUUAGCCCCAGAAGGGAAAGGGUUCUCUUUCCUCUACAAUUUGGAGGUGCAGGGGUUUGGGAAAGAUGAGCUAACCCAUUUGCGUUUCACCAUCUGUAAAAUGAGAAUGAAAGUAUCCACCUUGGGCCAGUGAGAUGGCUCGGUGAGUGAAAGUCACUUGUCACUAAGCCUGAAGACCUGAGCUUCCAUCCGUAAGAACUGACUCACUGUAGGUCGUCCUCUCCCCUCCAGCCGUGCACCACGGUGCUCAUAUGCACCCAAGCACUCACAUCCCACACUAAAUAAGUAAACCAACAAACACAAUGGUGAAAGUAAUCUACCCCGGAGACCUCUUGGGCCUUUGCUGUUCUGGAAUCUCUGUUCGUUGAACAUCAGGUGGUUACACAGCUGGUUCUCCUUUUGUAAUAUUAAAGCACAACAUGAUUAAGCUGACCUUGUCACCUAAGGGUUCACCCAAGUGAAGUUCACCUCGUCAGAGUGCAAGGACAUUCUCAGGUGGAUAACACUCUCCAUGGCAGGGCUUCCAAGCAACAAAGAAGCCUUGUUGGAACCUGUGUGCCUGCCCUGCCUCUCUUGCCUGAGACGGUAGAUCUUAAGCUGCUAGGAGACAGUGGUAAGGAAGGGCAGGUGGUCUCAUCUCACCUCCCUCCCUCCACCUCCACUACCUCCAGGGCUCCCCAGAGAGAAGUGUAGGCUCUCCCAACCUUAGAAUGAGACAGGUGGAAAAGCGGCAAUAAUCCAAUUAAAGUGUCUGACACUCUGGCCAGGUGGCACCGUGCUGGGGAGGAGGUAGGCACACGGGGGCUGUUACAGGUUGUUUCACUGGCUGUGGAUUCCUACAGGGAGAACUCUGGCCAUAAGAUUCACAGAUAAAAACCAGCGGCCUCUGCUUUCUCUCCAGAGUGUUUUUGUAAGAAAUUGGUUUGGGGCAGGAAGGGACAAGAUCCUCUCUCUCUUCCCACCUUGAGGGUAUUUAGAGGAGGUAGAAAGAGGAAAUGUUGGGGGUGGGGGAGAAUAAAUCAAGGAGCUGGCAGGGUUAGAAAAGCCAAGAGUGUCUCCAGCCGGACAAGUCUGCUCAGGUGAGGGGUGGUCACGGGCAGGGUGCGUAUUCUCGGUCUCACUCGCUUUUCUUCUUAGAUCCUUGCCACUGCUCCAGCUCUGGGGCUCCCAGGGUAGCUUCUGAGCCCCACACAAAGCCAAGGCACCGUCCCUGGGAAGUUAGGAUGAAGAGCACCAUCCAAGUCCACCUUCCACCACGGAUAUCGGCUCACAGCAAAACGUCAGCCCAUGGAGCUGAGCCCUUCCUUACACGUGUGGGGUGCUGCACCUGCCCCCCACCCCAGGCCUCCCGCACAGUAUCCCAGCACCGGGGUGACCUCCGGCACCCUCGUUACCACCAGGUCCAACGCACUUGACCACCUGUCCAUCCAGAGCUGAGUAGCCGUCCCAGCCUCCCACACUGCUUAUGGCGGGUCCAGCAGGCUUUCCACACCCCACUCCUAGCUGACUGGACUGGACCAAGUUAAAUGCUCUUCCCUUCAUUAUCCAAAAGAGUUUUAUUCUGACUGAAGUGAACAAUGUGGAGGAGCACAACUGAGCCCUGGCGCAGGAUGAGAAGUUUCUUAUAUCUAAAGAGCUGCACUUCAAAGGU
rnacentral:sRNA from 1 species